AUGUAUGCUGCAACGUAGACGUGGCCGACGCGGAUCAAUGUGUGGUAUCUGUUAUUAUCAGCUUAAUAUCUGAUACAGGUUUUAGUUGGACCCAAGAUAUUAAACUUAUUUUUGCUAGUUGGCAGGGUGCUUGAGCCUGUUUCACCUCCGCUGUGGGUUGGCCUGGUAUUGCACGAUCUUCAAGAUCAGUCCACAGUUU